rnacentral:rRNA from 1 species
UACGGAGGAGGCAAGCGUUAUCCGGAAUUAUUGGGCGUAAAGCGUCCGCAGGUGGCAAUGUAAGUCUGCUGUCAAAGCGUCUGGCUCAACCAGAUAAAGGCAGUGGAAACUACAUAGCUAGAGUAAGGUAGGGGUAGAGGGAAUUCCUGGUGUAGCGGUGAAAUGCGUAGAGAUCAGGAAGAACACCGGUGGCGAAAGCGCUCUGCUGGACCUAAACUGACACUGAGGGACGAAAGCUAGGGGAGCGAAUGGG